rnacentral:snoRNA from 14 species
AUUUCUGGAUGAUGGAAGAGCAGUGAAAGAUCUUUGAAGUGCUGAAUGUUCGGAAUCAACAGAAACAAGAGCUGCAUCUGUAUCUCCUGAAGAGAAGU